GACAGAGGGUGCAAACGUUGUUCGGAAUUACUGGGCGUAAAGCGCGUGUAGGCGGCAAGGUAAGUCGGGUGUGAAAGCCCUGGGCUCAACCCGGGAAGUGCAUUCGAUACUGCCAAGCUAGAGUCCCGGAGAGGAUGGUGGAACUCUCGGUGUAGAGGUGAAAUUCGUAGAUAUCGAGAAGAACACCGGUGGCGAAGGCGGCCAUCUGGACGGUGACUGACACUGAGACGCGAAAGCGUGGGGAGCAAACAGG
rnacentral:rRNA from 1 species